GGGAAGAUUCAGAGCAAGACUGAAACUCAGUGAUCUGCAGUCUUCUGUUUACCCUUGACAAUCCAUUUUCUCCACAGAACCUUCAUGCUUUGUAGAAAAGGCAGACUUAAUUAGUGUUGAUCCAAUGCUGUAAGAAUUCUCUUGGGACUACGUCCAUGUCUUUGUGGGAACCUCAUAGUAUCAUUCCUGUUUCACUUGGAGUGUCUUGCAUAAAAAUUAAAUCCAAAUCUAAAAAAGCAGAUAAAC